rnacentral:rRNA from 1 species
UACGUAGGUGGCAAGCGUUGUCCGGAAUUAUUGGGCGUAAAGCGCGCGCAGGCGGUCCCUUAAGUCUGAUGUGAAAGCCCACGGCUUAACCGUGGAGGGUCAUUGGAAACUGGGGGACUUGAGUGCAGAAGAGGAAAGUGGAAUUCCAUGUGUAGCGGUGAAAUGCGUAGAGAUGUGGAGGAACACCAGUGGCGAAGGCGACUUUCUGGUCUGUAACUGACGCUGAGGCGCGAAAGCGUGGGGAGCAAACAGG